rnacentral:rRNA from 1 species
UACGUAGGGGGCAAGCGUUAUCCGGAUUUACUGGGUGUAAAGGGAGUGUAGGCGGUCUGGCAAGUCUGAUGUGAAACUCCGGGGCUCAACCCCGGAACUGCAUUGGAAACUGUCAGACUAGAGUGCAGGAGAGGAAAGUGGAAUUCCUAGUGUAGCGGUGAAAUGCGUAGAUAUUAGGAAGAACACCAGUGGCGAAGGCGGCUUUCUGGACUGUAACUGACGCUGAGGCUCGAAAGCGUGGGGAGCAAACAGGAUUAGAUACCCUGGUAGU